UAGGGAAUCUUCGGCAAUGGGGGGAACCCUGACCGAGCAACGCCGCGUGAGUGAAGAAGGUUUUCGGAUCGUAAAGCUCUGUUGUUAAGGAAGAACGAGUGUGAGAAUGGAAAGUUCAUACUGUGACGGUACUUAACCAGAAAGGGACGGCUAACUACGUGCCAGCAGCCGCGGUAAUACGUAGGUCCCGAGCGUUGUCCGGAUUUAUUGGGCGUAAAGCGAGCGCAGGCGGUUAGAUAAGUCUGAAGUUAAAGGCAGUGGCUCAACCAUUGUAGGCUUUGGAAACUGUUUAACUUGAGUGCAGAAGGGGAGAGUGGAAUUCCUUGUGUAGCGGUGAAAUGCGUAGAUAUAUGGAGGAACACCGGUGGCGAAAGCGGCUCUCUGGUCUGUAACUGACGCUGAGGCUCGAAAGCGUGGGGAGCGAACAGG
rnacentral:rRNA from 1 species